UACGGAGGGUGCAAACGUUGCUCGGAAUCACUGGGCGUAAAGGGCGCGUAGGCGGCUUGGCAAGUGGAUGGUGAAAUCCCUCGGCUUAACCGAGGAACUGCCGUCCAAACUGCUUCGCUUGAGACCGGGAGAGGUGAGUGGAAUUCCCAGUGUAGCGGUGAAAUGCGUAGAUAUUGGGAGGAACACCAGUGGCGAAGGCGGCUCACUGGACCGGUACUGACGCUGAUGCGCGAAAGCGUGGGGAGCAAACGGG
rnacentral:rRNA from 1 species